GCCCAGGGAUGAGAAUCGAACCCACAAUGUCCCGCUUACCAGUCAGAUACCAUGUCCACUAGGCUACCCUGGA
rnacentral:tRNA from 1 species